UGAUAGUAUGAUGAUUGUUGGUUGAUGGUUGGAUGUUGGUUGGAUGCUGGGAGUCUGGCUCCAGCUCUUGAUGUGAUUCUCCUCUAAAUGCUCCUCAGGUGAAGCUGCAGAAAAACCAAAGAGGAACUCAAAGCUUCCAUCAGAGACAGUGGUCCUGCUGGUUCUCUGUGUUCUGCUGGCUGCUGUUUUCAUCAUUAUUAUCACACUCUUUGUCCUUUCGAUGAGCGAUAAAUCAGUUGAAACCCUGAGAGAGGAGAAUGAAGCUCUGAGGAAAAACCUCUCAGAAAUAAUCUGGAGAGAACAGCCAACAUGUCCUUCAUGUCCUCCUCCUCCUCCUUCAUGUCCUCCUCCUCCAAGUCCUCCUCCACCUCCUUCA